rnacentral:rRNA from 1 species
GAUGAACGCUGGCGGCGUGCCUAAUACAUGCAAGUCGAGCGAACGGACGAGAAGCUUGCUUCUCUGAUGUUAGCGGCGGACGGGUGAGUAACACGUGGAUAACCUACCUAUAAGACUGGGAUAACUUCGGGAAACCUGAGCUAAUACCGGAUAAUAUUUUGAACCGCAUGGUUCAAAAGUGAAAGACGGUCUUGCUGUCACUUAUGGAUGGAUCCGCGCUGCAUUAGCUAGUUGGUAAGGUAACGGCUUACCAAGGCAACGAUGCAUAGCCGACCUGAGAGGGUGAUCGGCCACACUGGAACUGAGACACGGUCCAGACUCCUACGGGAGGCAGCAGUAGGGAAUCUUCCGCAAUGGGCGAAAGCCUGACGGAGCAACGCCGCGUGAGUGAUGAAGGUCUUCGGAUCGUAAAACUCUGUUAUUAGGGAAGAACAUAUGUGUAAGUAACUGUGCACAUCUUGACGGUACCUAAUCAGAAAGCCACGGCUAACUACGUG